GAUGAACGCUAGCGGGAGGCUUAACACAUGCAAGUCGAGGGGCAUCACGAGGUAGCAAUACUUUGGUGGCGACCGGCGCACGGGUGAGUAACACGUAUGCAACCUUCCCUGUACAGGGGGAUAACCCGGAGAAAUUCGGACUAAUACCCCAUGAUGAUAUUUAUGGGCAUCCAUUAAUAUUUAAAGCCCUGGCGGUACAGGAUGGGCAUGCGCGACAUUAGCUAGUUGGUAAGGUAACGGCUUACCAAGGCGACGAUGUUUAGGGGACCUGAGAGGGUUGUCCCCCACACUGGUACUGAGACACGGACCAGACUCCUACGGGAGGCAGCAGUGAGGAAUAUUGGUCAAUGGGCGCAAGCCUGAACCAGCCAUCCCGCGUGAAGGAAGAAUGCGCUACGCGUUGUAAACUUCUUUUCCAGGGGGAGAAUAAUCCUGUCGUGACAGGACUUGACGGUACUCUGGGAAUAAGCAUCGGCUAACUCCGUG
rnacentral:rRNA from 1 species